UCCUCCGAAGGACCCAGCCUACCCCAUCGAGGUGGGCUGGGUYCUUAGUAGACCGGGAAGACCGGAAGAAAGUCGCUGUGAAUUUGGACGGUCUAGCCUUCGGCUUUCAUUCCCGCUCUUACCCGGCGUAAGUGUGGUCACCUAGCAACCAUGUUCGUGCUUCAAGAGCUAACAAUGGAGGUCGAAGCUAGUUUUUUCUGCAUGGGGGGAGGCUGGCUUGGAGGCAGUCAGCGGUGCUCGCUGGCGGGACCAACUGUCUGCUGAGGUGUCUGCCCUGGAGGAGGUACCAGCAGACCACGACUACUGCUAAAACUGAUGUGGCAGCCAUCGAUUGAGCCAGCCCUGCAAACCGUUGUUGGAUGAUUCAGUGGACAGUGAGAGGGAGCAUCCCAAAAACACUCUGCAGACCACCCAUGAUGUUCCACUUGCUGACCAGAGAAGACCAGUCUCGGGUCUCUGUUGUGGCACUCCAGCCGGUUCCUUCAGCACAACCAGCAACACUGCCAGAGACUUACUGUUUUGUUUUUUGUUUUUUUUUACAUUAAAUGGUCAAGGGGACACUCAGGUUAAUCCUGCCUUAACUGUAAAUAGUUGUACAAUGUUUCUUUUUUAUUUCUGUAAAUAGUUUUUUUCUUUAUAUUCUUUUUCACAUUCAUACAUGUUUAUAAAAAUGUUAAGUUAAUAAAAUGAGUUAUAUUCA